GAGCUCUCCUAAAUUGAUUUUAUGCUUGCAUAAAUGAUUUUUAGAUUCGGAGCGAGUGGCGAACUGGUGAGUAACACGUGGGUAACCUGCCCCGAAGCGGGGGAUAACAUUUGGAAACAAAUGCUAAUACCGCAUAAUUAGUUGGAACCGCAUGGUUCCAACUUGAAAGAUGGCUCUGCUAUCACUUUGGGAUGGACCCGCGCCGUAUUAGUUAGUUGGUGAGAUAAAAGCCCACCAAGACGAUGAUACGUAGCCGACCUGAGAGGGUAAUCGGCCACAUUGGGACUGAGACACGGCCCAGACUCCUACGGGAGGCAGCAGUAGGGAAUCUUCCACAAUGGACGAAAGUCUGAUGGAGCAACGCCGCGUGAGUGAUGAAGGUUUUCGGAUCGUAAAACUCUGUUGUUAAAGAAGAACAAGUGUUAGAGUAACUGUUAACACUUUGACGGUAUUUAACCAGAAAGCCACGGCUAACUACGUGCCAGCAGCCGCGGUAAUACGUAGGUGGCAAGCGUUGUCCGGAUUUAUUGGGCGUAAAGCGAGCGCAGGCGGUUUUGUAAGUCUGCUGUGAAAGCCCUCAGCUCAACUGAGGAAGUGCAGUGGAAACUACAAAACUUGAGUACAGAAGAGGAAAGUGGAACUCCAUGUGUAGCGGUGAAAUGCGUAGAUAUAUGGAAGAACACCAGUGGCGAAGGCGGCUUUCUGGUCUGUUACUGACGCUGAGGCUCGAAAGCAUGGGUAGCGAACAGGAUUAGAUACCCUGGUAGUCCAUGCCGUAAACGAUGAAUACUAGGUGGUUGGAAGGUUUCCGCCCUUCAGUGCCGCAGCUAACGCAUUAAGUAUUCCGCCUGGGGAGUACGACCGCAAGGUUGAAACUCAAAGGAAUUGACGGGGGCCCGCACAAGUGGUGGAGCAUGUGGUUUAAUUCGAUGCUACGCGAAGAACCUUACCAGCUCUUGACAUCUUCUGCCAACCCAAGAGAUUGGGCGUUCCCUUCGGGGACAGAAUGACAGGUGGUGCAUGGUUGUCGUCAGCUCGUGUCGUGAGAUGUUGGGUUAAGUCCCGCAACGAGCGCAACCCUUAUUAUUAGUUGCCAGCAUUUAGUUGGGCACUCUAGUGAGACUGCCGGUGAUAAACCGGAGGAAGGUGGGGACGACGUCAAAUCAUCAUGCCCCUUAUGAGCUGGGCUACACACGUGCUACAAUGGAUGGUACAACGAGUCGCGAAACCGCGAGGUCAAGCUAAUCUCUUAAAGCCAUUCUCAGUUCGGAUUGCAGGCUGCAACUCGCCUGCAUGAAGUUGGAAUCACUAGUAAUCGUGGAUCAGCAUGCCACGGUGAAUACGUUCCCGGGCCUUGUACACACCGCCCGUCACACCAUGAGAGUUUGUAACACCCAAAGACGAUGGGGUAACCUUUUAGGAGC
rnacentral:rRNA from 1 species